rnacentral:rRNA from 1 species
UACGAAGGGGGCUAGCGUUGCUCGGAAUCACUGGGCGUAAAGGGCGCGUAGGCGGAUCUUUAAGUCGGGGGUGAAAGCCUGUGGCUCAACCACAGAAUUGCCUUCGAUACUGGGGAUCUCGAGACCGGAAGAGGUGAGUGGAACUGCGAGUGUAGAGGUGAAAUUCGUAGAUAUUCGCAAGAACACCAGUGGCGAAGGCGGCUCGCUGGUCCGGUUCUGACGCUGAGGCGCGAAAGCGUGGGGAGCAAACAGG